GUGCUCCCAAGAUCCAGGAGAGCACUGGAAGAGGUUUCUGUCGAGGAACACACUGUUUGACUGUGAUAAUGGCAAGCAUGUUGGGUGGGCUGCUUGCCAUCAUGUCAUGCUGUGCUGGAAUCUGGUACUGGAGGGUGAGAAAAAGGCUCCUCUCUGCUCCUGCUCCAGCCCAGCCAAACACCUCGGGCAAGAAGAGCCGGACCUCUCACCCUCACUCUUUGUACCCCUGCCCAGCUGCGUUGCCGCGGCUGCAGCACCUGCUUUUUGAUGUCAAGGUCCAGCUGCCACCAAAACGAUCCUCUCUGCCUGUAAACCCACUGAUCGCACCCUAUGAUGAGGACUGAAGUUGGUCCUUUCCUGCCCACCCCUUUAGUUCAAAUAAAGAUAGAUUCAGCAUCA